AGAGUUUGUUUCUGGGUCAGGACGAACGCUGGCGGCGUGCCUAACACAUGCAAGUCGAACGGGGUAAAGAGCUUCGGUUUUUUCCUUAGUGGCGAACGGGUGAGUAACGCGUGAGAAACCUGCCUUUCAGUGGGGGACAACAGUUGGAAACGACUGCUAAUACCGCAUAAUGUAUUUUUGGGGCAUCCCUUUUAUACCAAAGCUUUAUGUGCUGAAAGAUGGUCUCGCGUCUGAUUAGCUAGUUGGUGGGGUAACGGCCUACCAAGGCGACGAUCAGUAGCCGGUCUGAGAGGAUGAACGGCCACAUUGGGACUGAGGUACGGCCCAGACUCCUACGGGAGGCAGCAGUGGGGAAUAUUGGGCAAUGGGGGAAACCCUGACCCAGCAACGCCGCGUGAAGGAAGAAGGCCUUCGGGUUGUAAACUUCUUUUAGCAGGGACGAAGAACGUGACGGUACCUGCAGAAAAAGCAACGGCUAACUACGUGCCAGCAGCCGCGGUAAUACGUAGGUUGCAAGCGUUGUCCGGAUUUACUGGGUGUAAAGGGCGUGUAGGCGGAGAUGCAAGUCAGGAGUGAAAUCCCGGGGCUCAACCCCGGAACUGCUUUUGAAACUGCAUCCCUUGAGUAUCGGAGAGGCAAGCGGAAUUCCUAGUGUAGCGGUGAAAUGCGUAGAUAUUAGGAGGAACACCAGUGGCGAAGGCGGCUUGCUGGACGACAACUGACGCUGAGGCGCGAAAGCGUGGGGAGCAAACAGGAUUAGAUACCCUGGUAGUCCACGCUGUAAACGAUGAAUACUAGGUGUGGGGGGACUGACCCCUUCCGUUGCCGCAGUUAACACAAUAAGUAUUCCACCUGGGGAGUACGGCCGCAAGGCUGAAACUCAAAGGAAUUGUCGGGGGCCCGCACAAGCAGUGGAUUAUGUGGUUUAAUUCGACGCAACGCGAAGAACCUUACCAGGACUUGACAUCCAACUAACGAAGUAGAGAUACAUUAGGUGCCCUUCGGGGAAAGUUGAGACAGGUGGUGCAUGGUUGUCGUCAGCUCGUGUCGUGAGAUGUUGGGUUAAGUCCCGCAACGAGCGCAACCCCUAUUGUUAGUUGCUACGCAAGAGCACUCUAGCGAGACUGCCGUUGACAAAACGGAGGAAGGCGGGGACGACGUCAAAUCAUCAUGCCCCUUAUGUCCUGGGCUACACACGUAAUACAAUGGCCGUCAACAAAGGGAAGCAAAACCGCGAGGUGGAGCAAAUCCCCAAAAACGGUCUCAGUUCGGAUUGCAGGCUGCAACUCGCCUGCAUGAAGCUGGAAUUGCUAGUAAUCGUGGAUCAGCAUGCCACGGUGAAUACGUUCCCGGGCCUUGCACACACCGCCCGUCA
rnacentral:rRNA from 1 species